CGUGCUCGUAGAAGGGGUGUUCGCCCAGGCUCGUGCCCAGGGCGGGGCUGCCGCCGGCCUCGGUGCCGCCCGAGGCGCCCGC
rnacentral:tRNA from 1 species